rnacentral:rRNA from 1 species
AAAGCUCAAAUUUGAAAUCUAACACUUCUGGUGUUCGAGUUGUACUUUGGAGAGGCAUCUUCUGGAGGGGCCCAGCCUAUGUGCCUUGGAACAGGACGUCAUAGAGGGUGAGAAUCCCGUCCUUGGCUGGAUGUUCCCUCCUGUAUGUAGUGUCUUCUACGAGUCGAGUUGUUUGGGAAUGCAGCUCAAAAUGGGUGGUAAAUUUCAUCUAAAGCUAAAUAUUGGCGAGAGACCGAUA